AGGACGAACGCUGGCGGCGUGCUUAACACAUGCAAGUCGAGCGGUAAGGCCCUUUCGGGGGUACACGAGCGGCGAACGGGUGAGUAACACGUGGGUGACCUGCCCUCAGCUCUGGGAUAAGCCUGGGAAACUGGGUCUAAUACCGGAUAUGACCUCUCAUCGCAUGGUGGGUGGUGGAAAGUUUUUCGGCUGGGGAUGGGCCCGCGGCCUAUCAGCUUGUUGGUGGGGUGAUGGCCUACCAAGGCGACGACGGGUAGCCGGCCUGAGAGGGCGACCGGCCACGACUGGGACUGAGACACGGCCCAGACUCCUACGGGAGGCAGCAGUGGGGAAUAUUGCGCAAUGGGCGGAAGCCUGACGCAGCGACGCCGCGUGGGGGAUGACGGCCUUCGGUUGUAACCUCUUCGCCAUCGACGAAGCCUUUGGUGACGGUAGGUGGAGAAGAAGCACCGGCCAACUACGUGCCAGCAGCCGC
rnacentral:rRNA from 1 species